UAGAGAGAACACCGUGUUCUCCACCCAAAGGAUGGGUUACCCACGUAUGCCUUCAAGCAUGAUCUUAAUGUUUUCCGUCUAAAUUGAAAAUGUCAUUUUUUAAGGGGAAAAAAAUAAAUAAAAACGAAUCCCUAAAACCCGAAAAAAACCCCCGAAGACAGCCCAUUUGAAUAACGAAGCCCGGUGGUGCCUAAUAGCAUGAUAAAAAUAUCCUCUAUGAGCUGCAAAACCUAGACGUCUCUCUCUUUCUCUCUCUAUUCUCUCCAGCUCUUGCCCUUUUCAUAUUCCAACAAUCCGAUACUUGUGAACCAAGCAGAACUCGGUUCCGUUGUCAGACAAGCCAUAGCGACAGAGAGAAGAACAUGGAAGAGAGUUUGCUACCAAGAGAGGUUGACGAGAAAGGGCAGGGUAUUAGUGGUCCAACUCCAACCCCAACAUGGGGUGUAUUCAUUCAAGAAGUGAAAAGACUUGGUUACAUAGCGGGUCCUAUGGUGGCUGUGAUUCUAACACAGUACUCCUUGCAAGUUAUAUCCAUGAUGAUGGUUGGUCACCUUGGUGAGCUUGCCCUCUCUAGUGCCGCCAUGGCUCUCUCUCUUUCCGGUGUCACCGGUUUCAGUCUCAUGAUGGGGAUGGCAAGUGCAUUGGAAACUCUAUGCGGGCAGGCUUAUGGAGCUAAGCAAUAUAAAAAACUUGGAACUCAAACUUAUACUGCAAUUUUCUGCCUAAACUUAGCCUGUAUCCCUCUAUCUGUCAUAUGGAUCUACAUGGGAAAGAUACUCCAUUUCACUGGUCAAGAUCCAGCAAUUUCGCAUGAAGCCGGAAAAUUUACAGUGUGGCUUGUUCCUGCACUCUUUGCUUAUGCAACUCUUCAGCCACUUGUUAGAUAUUUUCAGACACAAAGUUUUAUCAUGCCCAUGCUGAUUAGCUCUUGUGCCACUCUUUGUUUCCAUAUACCUCUCUGCUGGGCCUUAGUAUACAAGUCUGGGCUAAAAAAUGUGGGAUCUGCGGUAGCAAUGGGUAUUUCGUAUUGGUUGAAUGUAAUCUUUCUUGGAUUAUACAUAAAGUACUCUUCCGCCUGUGCAAAAACUCGUGUUCCAAUUUAUAAGGAGUUAUUCUACGGGGUCGGAGAGUUUUUCCGCUUCGCCAUCCCAUCUGCAGUAAUGAUCUGCCUUGAGUGGUGGUCAUUUGAGCUGCUUAUCUUGCUCUCAGGGUUCUUACCAAAUCCACAGCUUGAAACUUCAGUCCUAUCCGUGUGUCUCAUGACUAUUUCAACACUUUAUGGAAUACCAUUUGGACUUGGUGCCGCAGCAAGCACUAGAGUCGCAAAUGAACUAGGAGCUGGGAACCCACGAGCAGCGCGCUUAGCUGUCUAUGCUGCGAUGUUUCUUGCAGUUUCAGAGACAAUUAUAGUAACUUCAGCCCUUUUUGCCAGCAGGCGUGUUUUUGGCUAUCUUUUCAGCAAUGAAAAGGAAGUAAUUGAUUAUGUCACAACGAUGGCCCCUCUGGUUUGUCUGUCGGUUAUAAUGGACAGCUUACAAGGAGUACUUUCAGGGGUUGCAAGAGGGUGUGGAUGGCAGCAUAUAGGGGCUUAUAUAAAUCUCGGAGCCUUCUAUCUUUGUGGGAUUCCAGCUGCUGCCUUGUUGGCUUUCUGGUUAAAUUUAGGAGGCAUGGGCCUCUGGAUUGGAAUUCAAACCGGUGCCUUCACUCAAACAAUUUUACUCUCUAUUGUCACGAGCUGCACAAAUUGGGAAAAACAGGCAAGAAUGGCAAGGGAGAGGAUUUUUGAAGGUCAUGACAAUGGAUUAAUAUGAUUCGAGAGAUAUGACCAGUGAUCUAUUUUUGCUAUGUAUGAGAGAUUGUAAAAGGGAAAGUCUGAUUAAGCUGAUAAGUUCACACAUACAAUGAAAUAGAGAAGGAAAAAAAGAAAAAGAAAAAGGAAAGAGAUCAGGAUUGUUUUCCACUGUAACUAAUGACUCAAUCCCGUGUCAAAAUCCUAUCGGCGUUCCGAGGAGGAGAAACUCUGAGGUUACUCAUUUGUUCUUUGGGUAGUGUGUGUGUACAUCUACAUAUAUCGUAUUUUAAUCCUCUACGUUUUCACCGUAGAAUACUUUGUACAUCGAGCAAAUCAGCUUUAAGACUCGAGGCAAAUCUUCAAGGUAGUAUUUUGUGUAAUUGCGUUGGACGAGAUUGCUCUUAAUCUUUGCCUAAUUUCGUUUUUAA